ACUAAGCGUACACGGUGGAUGCCCUGGCAGUCAGAGGCGAUGAAGGACGUGCUAAUCUGCGAUAAGCGUCGGUAAGGUGAUAUGAACCGUUAUAACCGGCGAUUUCCGAAUGGGGAAACCCAGUGUGAUUCGUCACACUAUCAUUAACUGAAUCCAUAGGUUAAUGAGGCGAACCGGGGGAACUGAAACAUCUAAGUACCCCGAGGAAAAGAAAUCAACCGAGAUUCCCCAGUAGCGGCGAGCGAACGGGGAGCAGCCCAGAGCCUGAAUCAGUGUGUGUGUUAGUGGAAGCGUCUGGAAAGGCGUGCGAUACAGGGUGACAGCCCCGUACACAAAAAUGCACAUACUGUGAGCUCGAUGAGUAGGGCGGGACACGUGGUAUCCUGUCUGAAUAUGGGGGGACCAUCCUCCAAGGCUAAAUACUCCUGACUGACCGAUAGUGAACCAGUACCGUGAGGGAAAGGCGAAAAGAACCCCGGCGAGGGGAGUGAAAAAGAACCUGAAACCGUGUACGUACAAGCAGUGGGAGCACGCUUAGGCGUGUGACUGCGUACCUUUUGUAUAAUGGGUCAGCGACUUAUAUUCUGUAGCAAGGUUAACCGAAUAGGGGAGCCGAAGGGAAACCGAGUCUUAACUGGGCGUUAAGUUGCAGGGUAUAGACCCGAAACCCGGUGAUCUAGCCAUGGGCAGGUUGAAGGUUGGGUAACACUAACUGGAGGACCGAACCGACUAAUGUUGAAAAAUUAGCGGAUGACUUGUGGCUGGGGGUGAAAGGCCAAUCAAACCGGGAGAUAGCUGGUUCUCCCCGAAAGCUAUUUAGGUAGCGCCUCGUGAAUUCAUCUCCGGGGGUAGAGCACUGUUUCGGCAAGGGGGUCAUCCCGACUUACCAACCCGAUGCAAACUGCGAAUACCGGAGAAUGUUAUCACGGGAGACACACGGCGGGUGCUAACGUCCGUCGUGAAGAGGGAAACAACCCAGACCGCCAGCUAAGGUCCCAAAGUCAUGGUUAAGUGGGAAACGAUGUGGGAAGGCCCAGACAGCCAGGAUGUUGGCUUAGAAGCAGCCAUCAUUUAAAGAAAGCGUAAUAGCUCACUGGUCGAGUCGGCCUGCGCGGAAGAUGUAACGGGGCUAAACCAUGCACCGAAGCUGCGGCAGCGACGCUUAUGCGUUGUUGGGUAGGGGAGCGUUCUGUAAGCCUGUGAAGGUGUGCUGUGAGGUAUGCUGGAGGUAUCAGAAGUGCGAAUGCUGACAUAAGUAACGAUAAAGCGGGUGAAAAGCCCGCUCGCCGGAAGACCAAGGGUUCCUGUCCAACGUUAAUCGGGGCAGGGUGAGUCGACCCCUAAGGCGAGGCCGAAAGGCGUAGUCGAUGGGAAACAGGUUAAUAUUCCUGUACUUGGUGUUACUGCGAAGGGGGGACGGAGAAGGCUAUGUUGGCCGGGCGACGGUUGUCCCGGUUUAAGCGUGUAGGCUGGUUUUCCAGGCAAAUCCGGAAAAUCAAGGCCGAGGCGUGAUGACGAGGCACUACGGUGCUGAAGCAACAAAUGCCCUGCUUCCAGGAAAAGCCUCUAAGCAUCAGGUAACAUCAAAUCGUACCCCAAACCGACACAGGUGGUCAGGUAGAGAAUACCAAGGCGCUUGAGAGAACUCGGGUGAAGGAACUAGGCAAAAUGGUGCCGUAACUUCGGGAGAAGGCACGCUGAUACGUAGGUGAAGCGACUUGCUCGUGGAGCUGAAAUCAGUCGAAGAUACCAGCUGGCUGCAACUGUUUAUUAAAAACACAGCACUGUGCAAACACGAAAGUGGACGUAUACGGUGUGACGCCUGCCCGGUGCCGGAAGGUUAAUUGAUGGGGUUAGCGCAAGCGAAGCUCUUGAUCGAAGCCCCGGUAAACGGCGGCCGUAACUAUAACGGUCCUAAGGUAGCGAAAUUCCUUGUCGGGUAAGUUCCGACCUGCACGAAUGGCGUAAUGAUGGCCAGGCUGUCUCCACCCGAGACUCAGUGAAAUUGAACUCGCUGUGAAGAUGCAGUGUACCCGCGGCAAGACGGAAAGACCCCGUGAACCUUUACUAUAGCUUGACACUGAACAUUGAGCCUUGAUGUGUAGGAUAGGUGGGAGGCUUUGAAGUGUGGACGCCAGUCUGCAUGGAGCCGACCUUGAAAUACCACCCUUUAAUGUUUGAUGUUCUAACGUGGACCCGUGAUCCGGGUUGCGGACAGUGUCUGGUGGGUAGUUUGACUGGGGCGGUCUCCUCCUAAAGAGUAACGGAGGAGCACGAAGGUUGGCUAAUCCUGGUCGGACAUCAGGAGGUUAGUGCAAUGGCAUAAGCCAGCUUGACUGCGAGCGUGACGGCGCGAGCAGGUGCGAAAGCAGGUCAUAGUGAUCCGGUGGUUCUGAAUGGAAGGGCCAUCGCUCAACGGAUAAAAGGUACUCCGGGGAUAACAGGCUGAUACCGCCCAAGAGUUCAUAUCGACGGCGGUGUUUGGCACCUCGAUGUCGGCUCAUCACAUCCUGGGGCUGAAGUAGGUCCCAAGGGUAUGGCUGUUCGCCAUUUAAAGUGGUACGCGAGCUGGGUUUAGAACGUCGUGAGACAGUUCGGUCCCUAUCUGCCGUGGGCGCUGGAGAACUGAGGGGGGCUGCUCCUAGUACGAGAGGACCGGAGUGGACGCAUCACUGGUGUUCGGGUUGUCAUGCCAAUGGCACUGCCCGGUAGCUAAAUGCGGAAGAGAUAAGUGCUGAAAGCAUCUAAGCACGAAACUUGCCCCGAGAUGAGUUCUCCCUGACCCUUUAAGGGUCCUGAAGGAACGUUGAAGACGACGACGUUGAUAGGCCGGGUGUGUAAGCGCAGCGAUGCGUUGAGCUAACCGGUACUAAUGAACCGUGAGGCUUAACC
rnacentral:rRNA from 1 species